rnacentral:rRNA from 1 species
GUAGAGAAGCUUGCUUCUCUUGAGAGCGGCGGACGGGUGAGUAAAGCCUAGGAAUCUGCCUGGUAGUGGGGGAUAACGUUCGGAAACGGACGCUAAUACCGCAUACGUCCUACGGGAGAAAGCAGGGGACCUUCGGGCCUUGCGCUAUCAGAUGAGCCUAGGUCGGAUUAGCUAGUUGGUGAGGUAAUGGCUCACCAAGGCGGCGAUCCGUAACUGGUCUGAGAGGAUGAUCAGUCACACUGGAACUGAGACACGGUCCAGACUCCUACG